AAAGAAACGAUAUAAACCUUCAACAGAGAGCAACUACAUCUGUUUAGUUGUUAUUUUUAGACUAAUCCAACACUAAUUCGUUCCUAAUUUUCAGCUGUUUGUAUCAAAUGAAUGAAACUUUAUGUAGUGAAUCAUUUUAUACCCCCUACACUUAAGAAGGAUUUGCUUCCAUCAAACACUUUUACUGCCUUACUUACGAGAGAAGAAUUGGAAGGGAGAAUCCUUCUGAAGGUUAAUUCAUUUGGAUGAAUGAAUGAUGCUGGAACAGAAGAAGAAAGGAGAAAAGAAUCUACAUAUGCACUCAACUCAAUUGAGAAAUGGAGCUACUUUUAAGUCAAAGAUGUGAUAAAUUCUGACCGGAUCUUGAGUAUACAUGCGUAUGUUUAAAUCUAUCUUUAUAAAAAACCUCGAAUAACAAAUACAAAACAAGUUCUUCGACUCAAUUCAAUCGCAAAAACACACACAUACUAUGACAAUUCUUGAUUAACCUUGACUACCCUAUUAAAAGUACACACAGGCUCUUUUUGGGUUCCUCAAGAAGACGAUGAAGAAGAAAGAGGGGUCUCUUCAGUGAAUGUGAAAUAAUUUUCUUAAGAAUAAAUCGUACAAUUUGCAAAAGUCUAUAAAAUAGGAAAAAAAAAAAGAUUAUAAUGAAAUAAUGUAAGAAUAAAGAAAAAUUUCCCAAUGCAAAAUAUAACACAAAAAACAAAUGAAUUCUUCACGGAACAAAUCAAACUAUAUGUACAUUUUUUAGUGUGUAAAGUGAUUAUUGACAUAACUGUAUGUCGUAAUGCAUGUAAAAAUACGUAUUGUGCUUAUUAUAACUUGGAACUCAAAUAUUUAAAUGGACAUAAAUUUACGAGGGAAAAAAAGAAGAAGUCAUAUUCGGUUUAAAAAUAAUUGUGAUUUGUCAGCAUAAAACCAUCUUCAGCAAAAAUCAAGAAAGGGAGAAAAUCACAAAUAAUGUUUUAUCUUCAUGAAGGGUCCUGCAGAUAAAUUGGGACUGACUUAAACUGCAUCCACAUCAAUAAAGCGAGCAUAUUGAGUCCAUUUUGAAUGUGGUCAAGCAGUAAGUAACGAUGUAGCAAUGAAGAAAGUAAACAAUUGUCGAACUCGCUGACGUAAGGAAGACCCUCUUGCUAUAAUGAAGGAAAAACUGGACUGUGGACCGGACGUACAACAGACAAGAUGAUAAUGGUUGUCCCAUUAAAAUUCUGCCUUUCCUCACAUCUUAUAUUUAAAAUAAAAAUAGAUUGACAUGA
rnacentral:lncRNA from 1 species